GACGUAGGGCGCGAGCGUUGUCCGGAUUUAUUGGGCGUAAAGAGCUCGUAGGCGGCUUGUUGCGUCGACCGUGAAAACCCGUGGCUUAACUGCGGGCUUGCGGUCGAUACGGGCGGGCUGGAGUUCGGUAGGGGAGACUGGAAUUCCUAGUGUAGCGGUGAAAUGCGCAGAUAUCAGGAGGAACACCGGUGGCGAAGGCGGGUCUCUGGGCCGAUACUGACGCUGAGGAGCGAAAGCGUGGGGAGCGAACAGG
rnacentral:rRNA from 1 species